UUUUAUAAAGAACUGAUUUAUUAAAAGAUGAAUACGUUUAUAUUUUCAUUAUACUGUUUAGUGACUCUCUCGUUAAUUAACUCAAAAACAGUAUCGCCAAUAACAAUACCGGUUGUAUGAUUUAUAAUAUCAAUAGAAAUUGAUACCACUGAAAUAGGGUAAAUAUAUGUAUAUAUAUAUGUAAAAUAAGAAUGGGAACGAGAAUGUGAUGGCGGCAUCGCUUUUGAGUUAUCUAAUGAGAAGAUCAUCUUAUAUUAGAACUUUAUAACAAUAAUAUUUACCAUUAUAUAAUCAUAUGCACAGCAAAUUGAAGCUAACAUAGGAA